rnacentral:piRNA from 1 species
UAAAAUGCUAUUACAUGUCUUUGGUCUGACA